GUGUUUAAUAUUUUUAUAGAAUAGUCUAGUUUAAAAUCAAACAAAAAGGUUAAAUUAAAAUGCAGAUACUUGUCUUGUUCAACUUGGAAUACAAAGUGUUUGGAUAAAUCAGGAGAAUGUGAUAUACUAAAGUCUAAUGCAUUUCCUUAAGAAAAGAAACUUUAUUGGUCAAAUUGUUAAUUGCAAAAAUUGUUGUUAAAAUUUGCAUACCAACAGUCUUUGAAAGCAAAGACAUGAAAAGUUAACCCACUCCCCAUAUUGUACAUGGGAUCUUUCUGGCUACCUCAGAUUUCUAGCCAGAGGGCUGGGGAUGGUGGAAGGCUAUUGGACUAGAGGUUGUAUUGAGUGAACUCCUCAAAGUGGGUGUGCUUGUCCUGGCUUGUUGCUCGAAAGCUCUGUAAUAAGGUUAUUUUAGUAAAAGGUUAUGUGUGGCAUAUAUUGAAUAAUAAGACUAAUGUACUGUAUAAUGACAAUGUGUAGGUGUUCAUUGUUGGGAAAAAGGUGUAUAAGUAAAAAGUGAAAGUUUCCUUUGCAGGUUAAAAGAAGCCAGGAAGGAAAGAAGGACAAAGAACAAAAUGAAUUAACUGAAAAAAAUAAA